GUGAAUUAAACAUGCUUGGUGUCUUCGCUUCGGCAAGGCCCUUGCUUAAAUCACAUCCUAACACCUGUGAACUGUAAGACGUAUGAUGAGGUCUUUGGCCAAGUCAUCGUCUGCCCAUUUUUAACAAACAAUUAAUGUAACAAAACGUAGUCUUAUUAUAACCUAAUA
rnacentral:misc_RNA from 1 species